GACGAACGCUGGCGGCGUGCUUAACACAUGCAAGUCGAGCGGUAAGGCCCUUUCGGGGGUACGACGAGCGGCGAACGGGUGAGUAACACGUGGGUGACCUGCCCUCAGCUCUGGGAUAAGCCUGGGGAACCGGGUCUAAUACUGGAUAUGACUCCAUGACGCAUGUUGUGGGGUGGAAAGCCUUGUGCGGCUGAGGAUGGGCCCGCGGCCUAUCAGCUUGUUGGUGGGGUGAUGGCCUACCAAGGCGACGACGGGUAGCCGGCCUGAGAGGCGACCGGCCACACUGGGACUGAGACACGGCCCAGACUCCUACGGGAGGCAGCAGUGGGGAAUCUUGCGCAAUGGGCGAA
rnacentral:rRNA from 1 species